rnacentral:tRNA from 1 species
UCUUAGGUAGUAUAGUGGUUGGUAUUCGCGCCUGUCAUAUUCGAGGUCGCGGUCGACCGGGGUUCAAUUUCCCGCCCGAGAG